UACGUAGGGGGGCAAGCGUUUGUCCGGAUUUAUUGGGCGUAAAGCGCACGCAGGCGGUCUCUUAAGUUUUGAGUGACAGGUGGUGGCUCAACUACCACAGGGCUUGGAAAACUGGGAGACUUGAGGACUUCAGAGGGAUGCGGAAUUCCAGGUGGAGCGGUGAAAUGCGUAGAGAUCUGGAAGAACACCAAAGGCGAAGGCAGCAUCCUGGGAAGUGCCUGACGCUCAUGUGCGAAAGCUAGGGGAGCGAACGGG
rnacentral:rRNA from 1 species